rnacentral:rRNA from 1 species
AACGAACGCUGGCGGCAUGCCUAACACAUGCAAGUCGAACGCUUUUGGGGUUUCGGCCUCAAGGGAGUGGCGCACGGGUGAGUAGCGCGUGGGAACCUGCCCUGUUGUGGGGGAUAACCGAGGGAAACUUCGGCUAAUACCGCAUGCGCCGGUUGUCUUGAGAGAGAUGGCCGGGAAAGAUUUAUCGCAGCAGGAGGGGCCCGCGUCGGAUUAGCUAGUUGGUGGGGUAACGGCCUACCAAGGCGUCGAUCCGUAGCUGGUCUGAGAGGA